rnacentral:rRNA from 1 species
UGAGGAAUAUUGGUCAAUGGGCGGGGAGGCCUGAACCAGCCAAGUCGCGUGAAGGAAGAAGGCGCCAGGCGUCGUAAACUUCUUUUGUCGGGGGAACAAAAGGGCGCCACGCGUGGCGUUGUGAGUGUACCCGAAGAAAAAGCAUCGGCUAACUCCGUGCC